CCUGUCGUAAUUACCACGCAUCCUACAAUAAGCGUAAACACGGGUCGUAAUAAGCUGCUUGUGUAAACGAGCUAUAUAGACGUUGGUGAGGACAGUCUGGCCUGUCUGUAACAGACAGGCAGGGAAGAGAGGGAAAAAGAGACAGAAGAGGACACACACAUGCAUUGACAUAUGCUUUAAUCCAUCCAGACCACAGAGGGAGGAGAAGAGUUCAAAGAUACAUCUGCCUCUCAUUCAGACAAGAGAGAGUAGGACCUGCACUGCAUUAUCAUCCCUGACAUUAAGAACUUAAUGUUUUUUCCAUAUUGCAAGUCUUAUUAUUCUGUUAUUGUGACAAACUAGAAAUGUAUGAAGUACAAGAAACUGACAGGUCAACUGCCUGUGAACUCCCCUACAGGAGUGGAGGUCAUGUGACACAGGAGUAGCUGAGGAGAAAACACUUUAGAGAAAACUUAAGAGCUUGAAAGGCUAGAAAAGAGUCUGACUGCUUCACUGACCUGGUGCCUUUGACCUCUUUGCUUUUAAAGAAGAAUACAACUUUGAAGCAGAGCUGAUGCCAAAUGACAGCUCAGUCUGUAUUGGUGACCACUGAUGGAACGUGCAAAAUACAGAGCCUACGGCUAGAACAAAGCCAGAUGUAAAACAGUUUUGCAUCUGUUUACGAAGCCAGCCUUGUAUUCAUUGCUGAUGAAACAACUCUGUAAAUGUUCAUUCUCCCUUUCUCUCUUCCUUUCUUUCAUCUCUCUUUUCACCUCUUUCUUGUUGGAUGUUUUUUUUAUUGUUACUCUAUCAGGAAAACAGUGACUGCAUGAUAUCACCUUUCUUUGUUUACUAAACAUGUAAUAGUGGCUUGUUAAUUUAUUAACACUCCCUUUGCUUUUUGAUGGUGGAAAAAUAUAUCACUGUUUGGAAAAUCUGCCUGUAAAUGUGUAUAGUACAUAUAGUAUAUUAAAAAAAUAAGACAGGAUAAGAAAAAUGUUCUGCCUUUACUAAAAUGCAGCACAUCCACAUUUACUGUUUUAAGUAUUGCUGCAGAUUACCACAUGUACCCCAAAAUAAAUAUUCUACAUUGAAGCAUUUGUUAGAAAACUAGCUUUUAGAUUAAGGAAAUUAAGAUAAUAGGAUAGAGCAGAAAUGUCAAAUUAUGCAGCUAUGAUCCAAUAUGGCCCUGGAUGUGUGGUUUUAUGUGAUCAUAUGUGUCGCUUUUAACCAUCUAAAUCCUGUUAGUGAUCAGACAACUAUAGUUCUCAAAGUGACCCAGGCUUAUGAUCAUGGGAUUUCUGCCUGUAAUCACAGUGCCACAACAUUAGGUUGUGACUCCACAUUGUAUAUCAGUUGACAUCAUAUAAAUCAGAGUAAUAACAGGACUCUUAAAUGCUAUUAUGUUUAAAAUAAUCAUCUGGAAGAAGUUUUAGCAAGUGGUUUUAGCAACUUUCUUCAGUUCGCAGCUGGGUCGAGGCCUCUGUCCUCUGAAGCAUGCAGCAGAUAACGAAGCUCUGGCAUCCACAUUCUGACAUGCAGGACUUGCAAAUGUGAAGCUGGAGGGAAAAGAUGGAAAGGAAGGUGCCACUGGCUAUUUGUUUUUGUUGAAGUCAGCCUCCAGAUGGGGUCCUUGUAUGAUUACCAUAUGGGCCCACAAUAAUUAAUCAGAUGUUGCUAGAGUUGGAUGCCUGUGGAGCACAAAUACCACCUGCCAGCAGCAUACACUGAUCAUGCUGUCAUGUGAGGAAGCAUGUUGGUUUUCAUAAAAGAUCUUUUUUUUGUGUAAUUCUUUCCUUACUUUAAGAUGUGAAAAUUCCACUUCAAAGUGACAAUAAAACCUGAGUGAACGCGGGACUUACUUUUUGAAAAUGUCAAGAAAAUUCACAGCUGCGAACAAAUGAGAAAUGAAAAUGUUCACACUCUGCUCUGUGAGGCUGUAAAAAGCAUUGCU